ACUCCUACGGGAGGCAGCAGUGGGGAAUAUUGCACAAUGGGGGAAAGCCCUGAUGCAGCCAUGCCGCGUGUGUGAAGAAGGCCUUCGUUGUAAUGCACUUUCAGUAGGGAGGAAGGUAGUGUAGUUAACACCUGCAUUAUUNGACGUUACCUACAGAAGAAGCACCGGCUAANCUCCGUGCCAGCAGCCGCGGUAAUACGGAGGGUGCGAGCGUU
rnacentral:rRNA from 1 species